CAAACUCCGAAUACCGUAGUAUUAUGCUCGGGAGUCAGACUGCGAGAGAUAAGUUCCGUGGUCAAAAGGGCAACAGCCCAGACCCACAGCUAAGGUCCCAAAAUGUAAGUUAAGUGGAAAAGGAUGUGAAGCUGCAUAGACAACUAGGAUGUUGGCUUAGAAGCAGCCACUCAUUUAAAGAGUGCGUAAUAGCUCACUAGUCGAGUGACUUCGCGCCGAAGAUAAACGGGGCUUAAACUUACUACCGAAGCUUGGGAAUAUUUAACGAUAUUGGUAGAGGAGCAUCGUAUGCGGGCAGAAGGUGAACUGUAAGGUAAGCUGGACUGCAUACGAGAGAGAAUGUUGGCAUGAGUAGCGUAAGCAGGGUGAGAAUCCCCUGCCGCCGAAAAAUCUAAGGUUUCCUGAGGAAGGUUCGUCCGCUCAGGGUUAGUCGGGGCCUAAGCCGAGGGCGAAAGCCGUAGGCGAUGGACAACUGGUUGAGAUUCCAGUACCACCGAAAGUCGUUUGAUCGAUGU
rnacentral:rRNA from 1 species